CCCUGAGGAGUCGGCGGGCUGGGCCGGGCCGGGCGGGAAACGUUAGGCCAGCGGCCCCCGGGGCGCGGGGGUCGAGCGGGCGGGGAGGGCCCGAGGCAAGCUCUGCCCGGAUGAGGAACAAAGCGGUGGGGCAGGCGCGCGCGCCCCCCGCGCGGCCGGCAGGUUGGGCAGCCCCCCUCCCGAAGCUUCUGGAGGAAAAGCCCCGGGUGUCCCCCGGCAUGCCCCAUCUCGCGGCGGGGUGCGCGGCCGCCGGCCCUCGGGAGAAGUUGGGCGGCCCCGGGCGGCCGCGGGGCCGAGGGGCCGCGUUUGUGCAGCGGUUGUAAGCAAGAUGCGGUAGCACGUGACCCUGGAACGCAAACCCUGAUGCCGGUUCCCCGCCGCGCCUGUGUUCUUUUCUCUGACACUUGGCCCCAAGCAGAUGCAUCACAGGAUGAAUGAAAUGAACCUGAGCCCAGUGGGGAUGGAGCAGCUGACUUCAUCCUCUGUGAGCAAUGCCUUGCCAGGCUCAGGGAGUCACCUAGGGUUGGCUGCCUCACCCACUCACAAUGCCAUCCCUGCCCCAGGCCUGCCAGUGGCAAUUCCAAACCUGGGUCCCUCCCUGAGCUCUCUGCCUUCUGCUUUGUCUCUGAUGCUCCCAAUGGGUAUUGGGGAUCGAGGGGUGAUGUGUGGGUUACCCGAAAGAAACUACACCCUACCUCCACCACCUUACCCCCACCUGGAGAGCAGUUACUUCAGAACCAUUCUACCUGGCAUUUUAUCUUAUUUAGCUGACAGACCACCACCUCAGUAUAUCCACCCUAACUCUAUAAAUGUUGAUGGUAAUACAGCAUUAUCUAUCGCCAAUAACGCUUCAGCUCUAGAUCCCUAUCAGUCCAAUGGAAAUGUUGGAUUAGAACCAGGCAUUGUUUCAAUAGACUCUCGCUCUGUGAACACACAUGGUGCCCAAAGUCUUCAUCCCAGUGAUGGCCAUGAGGUGGCCUUGGACACAACAAUCACUAUGGAGAACGUCUCUAGGGUUACCAGCCCAAUCUCUACAGAUGGAAUGGCAGAAGAGCUUACAAUGGACGGAGUUGCAGGCGAGCAUGCCCAAAUCCCAAAUGGCUCCAGAAGUCAUGAACCUCUGUCUGUAGAUUCUGUGAGCAACAACCUUGCAGCAGACACUGUAGGACAUGGUGGUGUGAUACCCAUUCAUGGGAAUGGUCUGGAGCUCCCUGUGGUCAUGGAGACAGACCACAUUGCAAGUCGGGUCAACGGGAUGUCCGACAGUGCCCUCAGUGACUCCAUCCACACCGUGGCCAUGAGCACCAACUCUGUAAGCGUGGCACUCUCUACCUCACACAACCUCGCCUCCUUAGAAUCUGUUUCCCUCCAUGAAGUUGGCCUAAGCCUAGAACCUGUGGCUGUCUCCUCCAUCACCCAGGAGGUUGCUAUGGGGACAGGUCAUGUAGAUGUAUCUUCAGACAGUCUUUCUUUUGUACCACCUUCACUGCAAAUGGAAGACUCCAAUUCAAACAAGGAAAAUAUGGCAACCUUGUUUACAAUUUGGUGCACGCUCUGUGACCGAGCCUAUCCCUCAGACUGCCCUGAUCACGGACCAGUGACUUUUGUUCCUGACACUCCAAUAGAGAGCAGGGCGAGGCUUUCUCUCCCAAAGCAGCUUGUUCUUCGCCAGUCAGUUGUGGGAGCAGAAGUUGGUGUAUGGACUGGAGAAACCAUUCCUGUGCGGACUUGCUUUGGGCCUCUCAUUGGCCAGCAGAGUCACUCCAUGGAAGUAGCAGAAUGGACAGACAAGGCGGUUAACCAUAUAUGGAAGAUAUACCACAACGGUGUCCUAGAAUUCUGCAUCAUUACAACUGAUGAAAAUGAAUGUAAUUGGAUGAUGUUUGUGCGCAAAGCCAGGAACCGGGAAGAACAGAAUUUGGUGGCUUAUCCCCAUGAUGGAAAAAUCUAUUUCUGCACUUCACAAGAUAUCCCUCCUGAAAAUGAACUGCUUUUUUAUUACAGCCGGGAUUAUGCUCAGCAGAUUGGUGUUCCUGAACACCCAGAUGUGCACCUCUGUAACUGUGGCAAGGAGUGCAAUUCCUAUACAGAGUUCAAAGCUCACCUUACCAGCCACAUCCAUAACCAUCUUCAUAGCCAGGGCCACAGCAGCAGCCAUGGACCAAGCCACAGCAAAGAGAGGAAGUGGAAGUGCUCCAUGUGCCCCCAGGCUUUUAUCUCUCCUUCCAAACUUCACGUCCACUUUAUGGGUCACAUGGGUAUGAAGCCCCACAAGUGUGAUUUCUGUAGCAAGGCUUUUAGUGAUCCCAGUAACCUGCGGACCCACCUCAAGAUACAUACAGGUCAGAAGAACUACAGAUGUACUUUGUGUGACAAGUCUUUCACCCAAAAGGCUCACCUUGAGUCCCACAUGGUUAUCCACACGGGCGAGAAGAAUCUCAAGUGUGAUUACUGCGACAAGUUGUUCAUGCGGAGGCAGGACCUCAAGCAACACGUACUCAUCCACACACAGUGAUCCUGAACCCGUCCGCAGGAGUCUUCUAUUGGAGACCACAGAAGAUACAGUUGUAGACGUCUGUACCUGAUGCAAGCCAUACCAUGACUAUAUUACAGGAUGAACACUGGAUCUACCGAAUAUACUCAAGCCACACACUCUGUGUUAGCCCACAGAGAACUCGUUCAGAUAAAGGAAAUUGAGAUUCUUACCUGAUGAGACUGUGCUUAUGUCCCAGACCCGAAGUCCUUCCUUCUGACCUCCAAAAGCAUAAAUAAAUGGCAAAUCGGGGCAACAGGAAGAACAGAAGAGAACUCCCUGGGAAGAAGAAAACAGAAGGUUAAUGAUUUCAGUCUUUCCAAAAAACACCAAUGUAAAGGCCUGUUCCUAUCUAUAUGAACCUAUCUGAAUGGUAACAGAAAACCAAUUCACCAGUAUCUCUUUUAAGCCUAUGAAGUAGUUCAGAGUCAAGGUGGAAGGAAUAUUACAAAAUGAAGCCAGACAAGUUCGGCAUGAUACGGCUAUUCUGUGAGGAUAUGUGCACUCUGACCACUCAGGUCUCUAAUCUGCUCAGUAUUCCCAGAAACUUUAUUUUCCCUUUUAAGCAACGAUGUUACUAUGGGUCACCAUUGAAUCAUUUUUUAAACUUCUAAUUUUUUUACCUUUAUUACUAGGUAAUGCAUAUACAUUAUGGAAAAUCUAAACACGAAAAAGUAUAAAAAUCACUAAGAUAAUCACCAUCAUGUUUUGGGACAAGAUCUCGUAAGGACUUAAGCAUUCAAAUAUAAGCAUGGGAUAGUACCAUGUAAUUGUGUGUGUAACCUACCUUCUCACAUACGUUUGUAAACAUCUGCAUAUGCAAUUAUAUAACUCAGUGCCUGGCAUUUAAAUAUUUGCUAAAUGAAUUCUGGUUACUUCUGAAUUUUUCCUACUACAUGCUAAUCAAUUUCAGUGUAGUCAAAACUAGUUAUGCAAAGAGGCAGUGCUUAAAUAAGCUGACCCUAAUAGCUGCAAUGCCCUAACGGUCCAAGCUUGCCUGGAUUUUAACUCCUCAAUUCAGAGUUAAAAAAAGAAAACCGUGGCCAUUCCACUUGAGUCCCAGACAAGCCUCUUUCCACUCUUCUUACCAAGCAACUGUUAAUCAUGUCAGGUGGGAAAGGAGCCAGAUAGGGGAAAUCAAAGAUUAAGUCAUAAACCUGGCACCAAAUUGAACUAAGCUCAAAAUUAACUUCCCAACAAAUCCACAUUCUUUAAUGCAGUGAUUCCUAGGGAAAGAUGACAAUACAGGUCAAAAGCAGAAAAAAUGCCCAGAGAAGAGUCUUACCAUUUUCAUGUCUCUAGAGUGAACCAGACUUGGCCUGUCUCCUAAUAUGUCCCAGAUUUUCACAUAUUUGUCUGCUGAUGCUGUCACAAGACAGCCCUUGAUUUGACUACUUAGAUCAAGACCUGAAGGAAGAUAAAAGAUCAGUUCAGACUCUGACAUAAAGAUUUACUUUAUCAUUAAGUUAAAAGAAAUGAAACACUAUUCUUGCUCACCGGAGAUUUCAUCAUUGUGUGCAUUGAGUGUAAAAACUGGCUUAUCUGAACGUGCAUCCAAAUUAUACACAAAGCCAUCAUCUGUGCUGGCC